GAAAUGCGAUAAGUAAUGUGAAUUGCAGAAUUCAGUGAAUCAUCGAAUCUUUGAACGCACAUUGCGCCCCUUGGUAUUCCGAGGGGCAUGCCUGUUCGAGCGUCAUUACACCACUCAAGCAAUGCUUGGUAUUGGGCGUCCGUCCCUCACGGGGCGCGCCUUAAAGACCUCGGCGAGGCCUCACCGGCUUUAGGCGUAGUAGAAUUUAUUCGAACGUCUGUCAAUGGAGAGGACUUCUGCCGACUGAAACCUUUUAUUUUUUCUAGGUUGACCUCGGAUCAGGUAGGGAUACCCGCUGAACUUAA
rnacentral:misc_RNA from 1 species